UAGCGUUUUGUCAGAAGCGUCCGCGUGGCGAGGAUGAGCCCCUGCUGAUUUCCGUGCGGGCUCUUGUCAAAAUGGUGAAGCUGUUUAUUGGAAACCUGCCUCGGCAGGCCACAGAACAGGAGAUCCGCUCACUCUUUGAGCAGUAUGGGAAGGUGCUGGAAUGUGACAUCAUUAAGAACUAUGGCUUUGUGCACAUAGAAGACAAAACUGCAGCUGAGGAUGCCAUACGCAACCUGCACCACUACAAGCUUCAUGGGGUGAACAUCAAUGUGGAAGCCAGCAAGAAUAAGAGCAAAACCUCAACAAAGUUGCAUGUGGGCAACAUCAGUCCCACCUGCACCAACAAGGAGCUUCGGGCCAAGUUUGAGGAGUAUGGUCCAGUCAUUGAAUGUGACAUCGUCAAAGAUUAUGCCUUCAUACACAUGGAGCGGGCAGAGGAUGCAGUGGAGGCCAUCAGGGGCCUUGAUAACACAGAGUUUCAAGGUGGGAUGUGUGUGGGCUGAAAUUCCGAGCUGCGGUCGUGCAUGAGAAUACACCCUUCGUGGUACCCCAUCUCCGGGACGUUCUCGGCUCUGUGCAUUCAGUCUCCCAGGAACCAUGGACCUUAAUUUACCUUGCUGAGUUCAGACCUUCUCUUCCUUUCCUUUACUGCCCAUUUUCCUAUUCUUCCUAUCCUUCAAUACUUCUGUAGCCUCCCAUUCAUGUUCUAUUCUCCCAGCAGGCCUCAUUGUGUGCAGAAAUUGUGGUGGGGGCUGAGCUACCUCCUCCCUGCUUCCUGCCUCCAGUGGGUUUUGAAUUUGGGGAUGACCUUGGUGAGAGUCUCACUGCUUCUGGAUCUCUUUUUGGCCCAAAGGCUAGACCUAUAGAGUUGAAUCACUUUCUUUCCAGUGAAAUAAAUGGUUUUUCAACUUAAAAAAAAAAA